AUUGAACGCUGGCGGCAGGCCUAACACAUGCAAGUCGAGCGGAUGAAGGGAGCUUGCUCCUGGAUUCAGCGGCGGACGGGUGAGUAAUGCCUAGGAAUCUGCCUGGUAGUGGGGGAUAACGUCCGGAAACGGGCGCUAAUACCGCAUACGUCCUGAGGGAGAAAGUGGGGGAUCUUCGGACCUCACGCUAUCAGAUGAGCCUAGGUCGGAUUAGCUAGUUGGUGGGGUAAAGGCCUACCAAGGCGACGAUCCGUAACUGGUCUGAGAGGAUGAUCAGUCACACUGGCACUGAGACACGGUCCAGACUCCUACGGGAGGCAGCAGUGGGGACUAUUGGACAAUGGGCGAAAGCCUGAUCCAGCCAUGCCGCGUGUGUGAAGAAGGUCUUCGGAUUGUAAAGCACUUUAAGUUGGGAGGAAGGGCAGUAAGUUAAUACCUUGCUGUUUUGACGUUACCAACAGAAUAAGCACCGGCUAACUUCGUG
rnacentral:rRNA from 1 species